rnacentral:rRNA from 1 species
AUUGAACGCUGGCGGCAUGCCUUACACAUGCAAGUCGAACGGUAACGCGGGGCAACCUGGCGACGAGUGGCGAACGGGUGAGUAAUGUAUCGGAACGUGCCCAGUUGUGGGGGAUAACUGCUCGAAAGAGCAGCUAAUACCGCAUACGACCUGAGGGUGAAAGCGGGGGAUCGCAAGACCUCGCGCAAUUGGAGCGGCCGAUAUCAGAUUAGGUAGUUGGUGGGGUAAAGGCCCACCAAGCAAACGAUCUGUAGCUGGUCUGAGAGGACGACCGGCCACACUGGGACUGAGACACGGCCCAGACUCCUACGGGAGGCAGCAGUGGGGAAUUUUGGACAAUGGACGCAAGUCUGAUCCAGCCAUGCCGCGUGCGGGAAGAAGGCCUUCGGGUUGUAAACCGCUUUUGUCAGGGAAGAAAAGGGCGACUCUAAUACAGUUGCCUCAUGACGGUACCUGAAGAAUAAGCACCGGCUAACUACGUGCCAGCAGCCGCCGUAAAAC